CGUACUCUUGUUUAUCUUAUACGUAAAGUACUUUAUUCCUUACCCAUAUUAGAUCGACACGUGUGUCGCCAACGUCUCCUCCAAGAUACAUGUCGAGCGUUUGCUUUGAGGUUUUGGUCCAUUCACCUGCAUGAUGAACUCACCUCUCUCAUUUCAAGGAGCCCAUGGGCAAGGAAAAAGGAGAGAGGUUUUAUUGUUUAUCGUUGGCUUAUUUGGAGAGGGGGGUACUUAACAACUUCAUAGAGAAAAAUUGUGUCGAGUGAUAAAAAUGGUCCAAAGUCGAGACUGUAUGCAAUACCUAUAAACACGAUAUUUAGGGAGUAUUUUGAUAGUUAGCACCCUAGAUAGUGGGCAGCAACAACUCUCUUUUUCUCUCUCUAA
rnacentral:lncRNA from 1 species